AAAAUUUUACAGUAUAGGGCAAUAUACCUUAUUGAGAUGUAAAAUGUGCUUGUACUUGUAAAAAUGACAGAAGCACACUAGUGAAGGAGAAGAUUGAAAUAGGAACAAUAGUUGUCAAGCAGAUCAACUAGGAAAAAGUAUAUAAAAGUUAAGUAUCUAGAAAAAUAUUCCUUUAAAAUAAUGUGUGCAUGAGUUUUUAGAAAGCUUUUCUGUAAUGCCAUAGGUACAUGUGUCAUAAAAUGAAGACCCCUGUUCUAUAUGAUUUGUGUGAUUUUCCUCAUUUUGUUUGUGUGGGUUAGGCAAUUCAUUUUAGAGAAACAAGUGGUUACAGAAUGAGAACUCCAAAACAGAAAUGCUAAUAUAUUGAUUAAAAUGUAGUUAGGUAAAUAAAUGAUUACUUUCCCCUAUCCUUACUACAUAGGCUACUGAUUUCUGUUAGGAAUAACUCCCUCCUCACUCCACCCCUUCCAGGAUUCAGAUAUGCAGUCACUCAGAGAAAUAAGAAGAUAUAUGUGGUAG
rnacentral:lncRNA from 10 species